AUGGUAGGAGAGAGAUCACUUGAUCAUUGUCUGUUAGGUUCAUUCCCUCUGGGGCACCUGGCAUUGGCCACGGUCGGUAGACAGAUGCUGGGCUAGACUGACCUUUAGUCUGACCCAGUACAGCUGUUCUUAUAAUCCUUUCCUGGACUG